rnacentral:lncRNA from 1 species
CCUUCAGCUUUUCCAAGUCCUGAGUCAGACACGUGUGCAACUCUGGGGUGAAAGACACCAGCUUCUUCUGCAGAUUACCUGUAUCAUUUGGGUUUGAAGCAUAUUCUGAUGUGUCUUUGUGAAUACCAGUUUAUUCUCAAGGAUUUUAGGUUGUCUUUUCUUUUCUUUUUUUUUUUUUUCUAUUUCGUUUAGAGCUUUUCUUCCUGAUGGCUUAUCUACCGAUCAAAGCAACUUCUACCUCACCAGCAGAUACAGAGGCAACUUCUUCCAUAGAUUUCUUCACCAGUUUUCCUUAGCUGUCUCCUUGGUCCAGGAG